rnacentral:lncRNA from 1 species
AUUUGUUAUCAUAUUUCCUUGACCACUGUGAAAAUACUUUUAGUCCUUGGGUACCAAUUUUCAUGGUUUUCGUGGAUGACUUUAUCCACGAAUUUAAGUGUCCAACGAAAUACAAUAACCAUUGUCCAAAUCAAGACAUGGAAAGAUCCCCGUCGGUAGGUUUGACUACUGAUAUAAUCUUGAGAAUAUAUUGAAUAAUGCCAAAUCUGAGAAUACUUUAAUAGCAGUCACAUAACUACAACCAC